AAAAAAGCAAACCGUAGGUUCUCGUACCAACGUUUGACUGUCCGUCUUAUAUGAAAUUUUUUUAUAAUUAAUAUUUUUAUUGUUGUUAGAUGAUAAAACAUGAUUAAUACUUUAUACGUGACUUAUCUUUUUAAUUUUUUUAAAUAAGACAGACGGUCAAACGUUAGACACGGAAACCAGGGUUUGUCUUUUU
rfam:Oryza barthii chromosome 4, whole genome shotgun sequence.